rnacentral:lncRNA from 1 species
AAUUCCUCCAAUUUUAUAGACAUCCUGGAGGGGCAGUCGCAGAACUUGUCAGUUGGACGAGUUGGUGGUAGGAUACAAUCCAAAGCUUCUAGCAGUGUGGUGCCACUGGCACGGCCAUCUUUGCGUGUGACUUCCCAUCCCUUGAACCAAGGCAUAUUAGCACUUGGCUCCAGCAUGUUGUCACCAUUCCAACCAGAAAUUGGCACAAAUGCUAUUGUGUCAGGGUUGUAGCCAAUUUUCUUCAUGUAGGUGCUGACUUCCUUAACGAUUUCCUUGUAUCUCUUCUGACUGUAUGGUGGCUCGGUGGAAUCCAUUUUGUUGACAUCAACAAUCAACUGUUUCACACCCAGGGUGUAAGCCAGAAGAGCAUGCUCGAGGGUCUGCCCGUUCUUGGAGAUACCAGGUUCAAAUUCACCAACACCAGCAGCAACAAUCAGGAUAGCACAGUCAGCCUGGGAUGUACCUGUAAUCAUGUUUUUGAUGAAGUCUCUGUGUCCUGGGGCAUCAAUGAUGGUCACAUAGUAUUUGCUGGUCUUGAAUUUCCACAGGGAGAUGUCAAUAGUGAUACCAUGCUCACGCUCAGCUUUCAGUUUGUAUAAGACCCAGGUGUACUUGAAGGAGCCCUUUCCCAU